GGGGGUGUAGCUCAGUUGGUUAGAGUGUCGGCCUGUCACGCCGAAGGCCGCGGGUUCGAGUCCCGUCACUCCCGCCA
rnacentral:tRNA from 1 species